GAUGAACGCUGGCGGCGUGCCUAAUACAUGCAAGUCGAGCGAACAGACGAGGAGCUUGCUCCUCUGACGUUAGCGGCGGACGGGUGAGUAACACGUGGAUAACCUACCUAUAAGACUGGGAUAACUUCGGGACACCGGAGCUAAUACCGGAUAAUAUUUUGAACCGCAUGGUUCAAUAGUGAAAGACGGUUUUGCUGUCACUUAUAGAUGGAUCCGCGCCGCAUUAGCUAGUUGGUAAGGUAACGGCUUACCAAGGCAACGAUGCGUAGCCGACCGGAGAGGGUGAUCGGCCACACUGGAACUGAGACACGGUCCAGACUCCUACGGGAGGCAGCAGUAGGGAAUCUUCCGCAAUGGGCGAAAGCCUGACGGAGCAACGCCGCGUGAGUGAUGAAGGUCUUCGGAUCGUAAAACUCUUUUAUUAGGGAAGAACAAAUGUGUAAGUAACUAUGCACGUCUUGACGGUACCUAAUCAGAAAGCCACGGCUAACUACGUG
rnacentral:rRNA from 1 species